UACGGAGGGUGCGAGCGUUGUCCGGAAUCAUUGGGCGUAAAGAGCGUGUAGGCGGCCACUUAAGUCCUGCGUGAAAUCUUGCGGCUCAACCGCAAGCGGUCGUGGGAAACUGGGUGGCUAGAGUGCGGGAGAGGAGAGUGGAAUUCCUGGUGUAGCGGUGGAAUGCGCAGAUAUCAGGAAGAACACCCGUGGCGAAGGCGGCUCUCUGGAACGCAACUGACGCUGAGACGCGAAAGCGUGGGGAGCAAACAGG
rnacentral:rRNA from 1 species